AUGUUCCAUCCUUUCAGUCUGAGACCAGCCCAGAAGAAAAAAAAAAAAAACAAAAAAAAAAAACAAAAAAAAAAAAAAACCUUAAUUAUCUUUUCUCGGUACCUAUAUUGGAACCAUCGAAAAAAUUUAUUACAGUAAAGCCUAGCCAUGAGGGAAAUUGUGCACAUCCAGGCUGGACAGUGUGGCAACCAGAUUGGUGCUAAGUUCUGGGAGGUGAUAAGCGAUGAACACGGCAUCGACCCCACCGGUACCUACCACAAAACAGCGACAUGAAGCUGGAUCGAAUCUCUGUGUAGUACAAUGAAGCCACACGUGGCAAGUACGUCCCUCAAGCUAUCUUGCUGGAUCUAGAACCCGGGACUAUGGACUCCGUUUGCUCAGGUCCUUUUGGCCAGAUCUUCAGACCAGACAACUUUGUCUUUGGUCAGUCUGGGGCAGGCAACAACUGGGCUAAGGGCCACUACACGGAGGGAGCUGAGCUGGUUGACUCUGUCUUGGAUGUGAUGUGGAAGGAGGUGGAGAGCUGUGAUUGCCUGCAAGGUUUUCAGCUGACCCACUCCCUGGGUGGAGGCACGGGCUCUGGCAUGGGUACCCUUCUCAUCAGCAAGAUCCGAGAAGAAUAUCCUGACCGCAUCAUGAAUACCUUCAGUGUGGUGCUCUCACCCAAAGUGUCUGACACUGUGGUUGAGCCCUACAACGCCACCCUGUCCACCAGUUGGUGGAGAACACGGAUGAGACCUACUGCAUUGACAACGAGGCCCUCUACGACAUCUGCUUCCGUACCCUCAAGCUCACCACGCCAACCUACGGAGACCUGAACCAUCUAGUCUCGGCCACCAUGAGCGGUGGUGUCACCACCUGCCUCCAUUUCCCGGGCCAGCUUAAUGCAGACCUUCGAAAGCUGGCUGUCAACAUGGUGCCGUUCCGUUCCCCUGUCUCCACUUCUUCAUGCCUGGCUUUGUGCAUCUUACCAGCCGCGGAAGCCAGCAGUACAGGGCCCUCACAGUGCCUGAACUCACCCAGCAGGUUUUCGACGCCAAGAACAUGAUGGCCGCCUGUGACCUGCGCCACUGGUACCUCACAGUCGUGCGGCUGUCUUCCGUGGACAGAUGUCCAUGAAGGAGAUGGACGAGCAGAUGCUCAACGUGCAGAAUAAGAAUAUCAGCUACUUCGUGGAAUGGAUACCCAACAACGUCAAGACAGCUGUCUGUGACAUCCCACCACGAGGCCUCAAGAUGGCAGUCACCUUCAUUGGAAACAGCAUGGACAUCCAGGAGCUCUUCAAGCGCAUCUCGGAGCAGUUUACAGCGAUGUUCCGCAGGAAGGCUUUCCUCCACUGGUACACAGGUGAGGCACGGAUGAGAUGGAGUUCACCGAGAGCAACAUGAAUGACCUCGUCUCUGAGUAUCAGCAGUACCAGGAUGCCACCGCCAAAGAGGAAGAGGAUUUCGGAGAGGAGGCAGAAGAAGAGGCCUAAGGCAGAGAGCCCUGCAUCAC